AUUGAACGCUGGCGGCAUGCCUUACACAUGCAAGUCGAACGGCAGCACGGGGGGUAACCCCUGGUGGCGAGUGGCGAACGGGUGAGUAAUAUAUCGGAACGUGUCCUGUAGCGGGGGAUAACCUAUCGAAAGAUGGACUAAUACCGCAUACGACCUACGGGUGAAACCGGAGGACCGCAAGGCAUCGCACUAUAGUAGCGGCCGGUAUCGGAUUGGCUAGUUGUCGGGGUAACGGCCUACCAAGGCGACGAUCCGUAGCUGGUCUGAGAGGACGAUCAGCCACACUGGAACUGAGACACGGUCCAGACUCCUACGGGAGGCAGCAGUGGGGAAUUUUGGACAAUGGGCGAAAGCCUGAUCGAGCCAUGCCGCGUGAGUGAAGAAGGCCUUCGGGUUGUAAAGCUCUUUCGGCGGGGACGAAACAGUUCGUGCUAAAACAACGAACUACUGACGGUACCCGAAGAAGAAGCACCGGCUAACUACGUG
rnacentral:rRNA from 1 species